UGUUAUGAAAAGUACACUGCAACUUGUGUAUAUGUGCUCCUUAAAUUACAACUCAUUUCUCUCUCUCUCCUUGUUGAAGGAGAUUAAUAACUCUCUCUCUCCCUCUAGUUAGUAGAGUGAAAAUUUCUCUCAUCUUCCUCCUUCAUUGUUGCUAAGAGUUUAUCUCACUUUGUCUGUUACAGUCCACGGCUGUCCUCCCCCUCAUCCGGGCACUCCCCUCCCCACAGAUUUCUGUUGUGGGUUUUGGGUUUGAAUUGUUCGGUUGGGUUAGAUGUCAGGGCUCCUGUUUUCCGCAAGUCAUUGCCUCUCUGCAUUGGGCUUUUUGCCUUUAUUUUUAAACCCUUUGUACCGGACCAAUUAAGGCCUUCUAUUAAUGAAA
rnacentral:misc_RNA from 1 species